rnacentral:lncRNA from 1 species
GUGAUAAUGGUUUGAUUUGUUUCACUUUAUAUGUCUACUACAGGUUUCUUUUUCUUUGUGAUCACCAUGAGACUUACCUAAAACAUCAUAUAACAGCCUGUUUUAAGCUGACAACAACUUAACUUGGUUCACAAAAAUUCUACACUUUCACUUCUCCCCCAUUUAUGUUUUUGAUAUCAUAGUUUACAUAUUUUUAUAUUGUGUAUCCAUUAACAAAUUAUUAUAGCUAGAAUUAUUUUUAUGACUUUCAUCUUUUAACUUUUAUACUAGAGUUAAAAAUGAUUACAUACCACCAUUACAAUAUUACAAUAUUCUUAAUUUGACUAUAUACUCAGUGUUACCAGUGAGUUUUAUACUUUCAUAUAUUGUCUUUUUUUUUUUAAAAAAAAGUUAUUUUUCUUAUGGGGACGAUCUCUAGAAUCUAGGAAGUCUCUGGGUCUGAGGGAUGGAAAGUUCUUCCUGCUAUGAAUGAGAGUGGACUCUUCCCCUCACUCCCAACUGAAACCACCAACACCCAGAAUCUUCUAGGAUUCUGACUUAGAGUCCUUGUUAUAGAAGACCUUGUUGCUAUGGAACAUGAAACUGUGUCUGUCAGAUGGAGAGAUUCCCUUAAGAGCCUUAAAUAGCCCUGAAAGUACACCGGGACAGUUUGCAAUGGAAUUAAAAUUAAAAAAACUGCCCUGGAGAGGCUAGCUGCUGCUCUUUCAUUUCCCCGCAUCAGGAUAUUCACGUCACUGAGUGGAGAUGAUUCCAGAUGUGUUUAAAGACUGGAUAAUUCACCUAUACUGUGUAAGAAAUUACCUCCUUAAUUACCUGGUAGAAUUGUCAGCAGACAUGUUCAUCUGAUGAUAGUACCGCAGUUUUCUAUUAAUAAUUUGCAGACUUUUAUCUAACCUACACUCAUGUACAGAUUAUUAAAAGUUUUAAAAUGUAACUGAUCAGUAUUGAUCAAUCAUUGUCUUGAUUUUUUUUACAGUGUAUAUUUCUAAUAAUAUUUUUUAAAGCCAAGAGAACUGGUUGAAUGAGUGUUUAUUUUCCUGAAGGUAUUUU